CCUACGGGUGUCAGCAGUGAGGAAUAUUGGUCCAUGUGCGCUAGCCUGAACCAUCCAAGUAGCGUGAAGGAUGACUGCCCUACGGGUUGUAAACUUCUUUUAUAAAGGAAUAAAGUGAGGCCCGUGUGCCUUUUUGUCUGUACUUUAUGAAUAACGAUCGUCUAACUCCGUGACAGCAUCGGCGGUAAUACGGAGGAUCCGAGCGUUAUCCGGAUUUAUUGGGUUUAAAGGGAGCGGAGAUGGGUUGUUAAGUCAGUUGUUAAAGUUUGCGGCUCAACAGUAAAAUUGCAAUUGAUACUGGCAGUCUUGAGUACAGUUGAGUGAGGCGGAAUUCGUGGUGUAGCGG
rnacentral:rRNA from 1 species